rnacentral:misc_RNA from 1 species
UUUUUUUUUUUUUUUAUUAUUAUUAUUCCCCUUAAGAAUAUAAUUUUCAACGGGUAGUGUUACACAAAUUGGAAACGAAUAGUUAUAAUGUUUUUGUCCGAAUUGAUUGAAACAUUCGCUUCUUAAUUAACCGUAAUUUUCAACACAAAAGGUUUACAUCUAGGAAUUUCAGAUUUGCUGACAGAUACUGUCUAUCCUAAGCGUGUAUGUAUUUAUUUAGUAAAAAAUGAAUCUAGCGAUUUCUAAGAAUUCUGACAUAUACACGGUACAAAUUAUUAAUAUAUAUGCAUAUUUUGUUUUAUUGUGGUAGAAAUACUGUUAGAUUGGAUAAGAGGAGAGAGACCUUGUGUACAUUAUUACUCCUCACCAAAAAUUAGUUCAAUACGUCACUGACUUAAAGUCAUAUAUAAUAUAAUAUAAAUAUAUAUAAAAAUGAAUUACUAUUCGUUAGUCUCGCUAAAACUCGAGAACUGCCGGACCGAUUUGGCUAAUUCUUUUUUUAUAAUAUUCCUUAAAGUACGAGGAUGGUUCUUACGGAGAAAAAAAUUUAAAAAAUUGCUUGAAAAAGUAUAAAAACAACACUUUUCUAUAUUCCCAUACAAAAGAUUAAAAAAAGUUAAUUAAAAAAAAAAUAAAAUUAAAAAUCAAUUUAAUUUGAUUUAAUUUUUCAGUUUGACUUAGCCAUAAAGUUAAUAUCUUAGUACAAAAACGAUAAUAUAUUUCCAAACGAUAAAAGUAUUUAACCAUGUACGUUUAUUCAUAUUGAAAUUAUUGAUUUAUCAACUCACUUUUUUCUUUUUUAUCUUACUAGCUGACCCGGUGUCCCAAAUAACAGAAUAAGUAUUAAAAAAAAAUAAAAAAUUAAAGAAUCGACUGUUAGGCGGUACGAAGUUCGCCAGGUCAGCUAGUAUAAUAUAAAUAUAACAUAUUUAAAUUAUACAUUUACAACUUAUAAUGCAGUUCUGCAAAUACGUAAACAAACAUUCGAAUACACAGCUAAGAUAAAUUAAUGUAGGUGCUUGUUAAAAAAUAAUUAGUUUUAUAUUUUUACACAUUUAAUUUGAAUUUCAAACUAAAUUUUAAAAUUAGGUUUAACAUAUGAUGAUAAAUGGACCUAGACGACAUUUACAUUCUUAUAUUCCUUACGUUUGCUAAUAAGGGGAUGUAACCCAAUCUUGAAAAUACAAAGAGUUGAAAGGAAUAGCAUACAUAAGCAAAGUGUAAUUUAUUAUACGUUGUGUGAGUGAAACUUUAAACCGUCAGGUAGUUCACAUCCCACAAAGUAUACAGAUGUUAAAUUUGUCGAUUUAAAUCCGCAAUUAUUUUUAUUAAAAUCUAUCUUUGUUAAUAAUUCCAAACACAAGUGUCCUUCGCAGUUGAGUUUAUGUGUUUUUUUUCUCUUAUACUAAUGUUUACGGGUUGCAAUGAUUGCGUCAAUUAUACAUUAAUUAUGCUAAGCGCGUUUAAGAAUCGUGCCUUGCUGUGGAUCCAUUAUGUAUACUGGUAAAUAUAAUCUUCAGUAUCCUAUCGUCGUGCCCAUGUUGCGGUUCGUAUAAGAAAAUAUAUUACAAAAUGUACGGAAUGCUAUUGGAAAGCGUACAUCACUUCAUUCAGUUGGAGUACGGCGAGGACGCUUGGUACGAGGUGGUCCGGCUGUCUCGAUGCAAGUGGUCCGAGUUCAACACGUUCGAAAUAUACCCGGACUGGGUGAUGCCGGAGCUGGCGGCCGCGGCCGCCAAAAUACUCACGGACCCCGGGAGCCGGACCGUCGAGUACGACGAGGGCGACUGGGACGACGACGAGGACGACGAUCGCGAUGACGGCGGCGAACCGACGUUCGACAGUUUCAUGCGGUACUUCGGCCGCUGCUUCGUGCGGUUCUUCAGCACGCUGAAACACUACGACGACUACAUCCGCGCCACCGGCCGGUACUUUUGCGAGUUCCUCAAGAACGUGGACAACCUGCACCUGCAGAUCCGGUUUCGGUUCCCGAAGAUGAAGAGCCCGUCCAUGUAUAUGUCGCACGCGGACCGCGACGGUUGCGUGCUCGUCUACCGGAGCACUAGGCGCGGGCUCACGCAAUAUUUCAUGGGACAACUGGAGCAGAUUGCCGAGGAUGUGUACAACACGAAGCUCUGCAUCCGCGUGCUUCAUGAGGAGAAUACGACCGUGACCUCGCAGUCCAUAUCCUUGCAAGGUGCUGGUCCGCAUAACGUGAUGGUGAAGUUCCGGUUGGACUUCGACAACAGCGCGUUCCUCUGCCAGUCAACGGCGAAGACAUUUGACCGGCUUCAGCUUCCGUCCGUACACAUCGGCGUGCUACUCCUACUGUUCCCGUUCGGAGUGGUCGUCGGCCGCGACCUACGCAUCGUGGAUGCCGGUGAGAAACUGUUAAACGUGUUGGGCUUGGCCACGACUGACGAUGUCCGCGGCCACACGAUGGUCGAUCACUUCUUGAUCCGGAGACCCCGGGACAUACCGUUCACAUGGAAUAAUUUGAUGUAUUUGACUUCGGUGACAUUUGAACUUGAAGUUAUACGUGGAGUAAAUGCCUCAUUUCCUGAAAAAAAAGUUGUUUCAACUAAAACAGAAAAGAAAUCAGGGAGUCCAUUUCCGGCUAUCUUGGAUAGAAGAGGUAGUUAUGGAUCACGGAGUGUACUUCUUAAAGGACAGAUGAGGUACAUCAAGGAGAUUGACGUGAUCAUAUUUUUAUGUAGUCCUAUAGUGAAUAAUUUGGACGAAUUGCAGGCAAUGGGAUUGUAUAUGAAUGAUCUCAAUUUUCACGGAUUAAGUAGAGAAUUAUUGCUGUCUGGCUGGCAACAUUGUUCUAAAUUAGAAUUGAUGUGUGAAAGGGCUGAACAAUUGUCACUUGAUCUAGAAGAUAAUUACCAAAAGUUGGAAAAAUGGAAAAAAAGAGGGGAUGAUUUAUUGUAUUCUAUGUUACCGAAAAGCGUCGCCGAUCAGUUGCAAAGCGAACAAAGCAAGUUAAAACCAUACAAGGCUUUUGAUAUGAUAUCAGUAAUGUUUUGUGAAAUCGAAGGAUUAAACCCACAGACAACAAAGCAAAAUGUAAUGUGUCUCGUCGAAUGUAUGAAUAUUAUAUUCAGUCACUUCGAUAACCUCACUGAUCGCCACGAUGUUUACAAGGUGGAAACUUCUAACCAAGUGUAUAUGGUUGUCAGUGGAGCUCCUGAGUACACGGAAAACCACGCAAAGAACGUCACUGAUCUGGGUUUAGGCUACGCUGAGGAAAUUAGAAACCUGAAGUUUCCGUGCGAUAUUCAGAUCCAGGCAUUCAUUCGGGCCCCGUCGUUGCUGGAGUAGUUGGCAUAAAAGUUCCACACUACGGUUUGUUCGGCGAUACCGUGAAUACAGCAUCAAGAAUGCAAACCACCAGUGAGCCAGGGAAAAUUCACAUUUCCGUCAAGACCAAAAAUCUUUUGCCAGACAAUUUAUACACGUUAACGUCAAGAGGACUUGUGACGGUUAAG